AGCGAACGCUGGCGGCAGGCCUAACACAUGCAAGUCGAACGAACUCUUCGGAGUUAGUGGCGGACGGGUGAGUAACACGUGGGAACGUGCCUUUUGGUUCGGAAUAACUCAGGGAAACUUGUGCUAAUACCGAAUGUGCCCUUCGGGGGAAAGAUUUAUCGCCAUUAGAGCGGCCCGCGUCUGAUUAGCUAGUUGGGGAGGUAACGGCUCACCAAGGCGACGAUCAGUAGCUGGUCUGAGAGGAUGACCAGCCACACUGGGACUGAGACACGGCCCAGACUCGUACGGGAGGCAGCAGUGGGGAAUCUUGCGGAAUGGGCGAAAGCCUGACGCAGCCAUGCCGCGUGAAUGAUGAAGGUGUUAGGAUUGUAAAAUUCUUUCACCGGGGACGAUAAUGACGGUACCCGGAGAAGAAGCCCCGGCUAACUUCGUG
rnacentral:rRNA from 1 species